UGGAAGGGGUUGCUGUCAGGGUCCAGGAACUCCUCUGACUAGAAAGGAAAGCUAGCAGUGACCAACUGGGAGGGGGACAAGAGCAUGUGGCUGGAUUGGAAGUUGCCACGAAGGUCACAUCUGGCCUGGUGUCCUCACCUCCUGACACAGGGGUCUGAGUAUCACCUGUGAUCCCUGCCAGCAUCCACGAGACAGGCAAGAGAAAGAGUGCUUUGUGAAGGCCCUGCAGCAGAAGACAGACACAGAAGUGGAGCUUCAAGAAGAAGCUUGAUCCCAGGGCCACUGGAGUCUGAGGACCAGUGGAUGGAGAGCCAUGAUACUCCAGGCAUGUUUUCCCGGCUGCUCAGGCUAUUUCACAGGGAGAAUGGCGAUCAAGGAGAGACCAGACCAAGGCAGAAGGAAUCUGGCAUCCUUUCUUGUAAAAAAGGAAGAAUGAAAUCAUUCUGGGGAAGACACAUGUCUUCUGGGAGAACAUCAUCCCAAAAUUGCAACAUCACUAAUCAUAUGAAGAAUAUGAAUAAACUAGAAGAUAUGAAAUUUUAUAUCAGGAAGAUAAAUGCUGAGCGGGAAGAACUUUUUCGAAUCUUGGACAUUGACAUAAAUACUGAUUUGAACUACAGCAUCAGGCACACCGACCUCCUGAAAGAAUGCAAUCAAUUGAAGGAAAAAGUAAGGAUGUUGCUGAAUGAGAACAGAAAGCUGCUGGUAGAGCAGGCUGACCAGGAGGCGUCCUUUGGUGAAGAAAAGAGGUUCUGUGAUGAGACCAGCAAGAACAUACAUCCCAAGUGCAAAGCAGCAGCAGGUGUGAAAUACUCCAGCAGAAACUGGAACAUGGAAGAGACCAGGACAAGUUCUCCUUUGAAGAGAACUUCUAUAGUGGGAUCCCUGCAUGUGCGAAGCAAAUAUUUCAUCUCAUUCCCCAGUACUCAUGGCUAUCAUCUGUUGCAUUUUCUUCCUUUACUUUUUUUUUUCUUGCAAUGAAUAGCCCUUAAUUUCAUCUGUGCUCUGGCUCAGCAAGAGUGAACAUGUAGAGGAAUUCAGACAUGUGCUGAGGCACAUCAAGGGCUACUGGGGAAACAGGAAGAUUCUGAGAGUAUAAAUUUUUCUUGUCCUGAUAGGUCAUCAAGGAAAAUUACAAAAUCAUUCUGCAAAAUUGCAAAGACUUUGAGCCAAAGUCUGUAACAUGUUUUCUGCUUAGUCUUGGGUGUCCAUAUUUUUCAAACCCAUACUCCAAAAAAGGAGACCUACUUAAAUUUCUCUUGUAAAGAUUGUUACCAGUAGUAACUUAUUUUCUACUGUGUUGCUAAGAACAGUAAUGGGCUGUAAGUCUGUGCUGCUAAAUGACAGCCAAAGAAGGCUCUUUAGCACAAUUCUUGCUUUUAGAUUUUGGUUUGAGCUUGGAUUACUUUUGUUAUUUGGUUUUCUUUAGUUUCAUUAGAAGUUUUUUGUUUGUUUCUUUGCUGUUGUUUUGUUUUGUAAUUGAUUUAAUGUUUUGAUAAGGCUAUACAGUAUACAUAUUGACUGGCCACUUUUAGUUACUAUUGAGUAAAUUGGAUGUAUUCUAAGAAUAAAACAGUGAUCUCCAA
rnacentral:lncRNA from 1 species